rnacentral:rRNA from 1 species
UAAUACGUAUGGUGCGAACGUUGUUCGGAAUCAUUGGGCAUAAAGAGCGCGUAGGCGGUCUGGUAAGUCUAAUGUGAAAGCCCCCGGCUUAACCGGGGAACUGCAUCGGAUACUGCCAGACUAGAGUGCAGGAGGGGAGAGUGGAAUUCCUGGUGGAGCGGUGAAAUGCGUAGAUAUCAGGAGGAACGCCGGUGGCGAAAGCGACUCUCUGGUCUGCAACUGACGCUGAGGCGCGAAAGCCAGGGGAGCAAACGGGAUUAGAUACCCCGGUAGUCCUGGCCCUAAACGAUGGGCACUAAGUAGAGGAAGUUCCGAUGCUUUCUCUGCUGCAGCAAAUGUAUUAAGUGCCCCGCCUGGGGAGUAUGGUCGCAAGGCUA